AGUGAACGCUGGCGGUAGGCCUAACACAUGCAAGUCGAGCGGCAGCACAGUAAGAGCUUGCUCUUACGGGUGGCGAGUGGCGGACGGGUGAGGAAUACAUCGGAAUCUACUUUUUCGUGGGGGAUAACGUAGGGAAACUUACGCUAAUACCGCAUACGACCUACGGGUGAAAGCAGGGGAUCUUCGGACCUUGCGCGAUUGAAUGAGCCGAUAUCGGAUUAGCUAGUUGGCGGGGUAAAGGCCCACCAAGGCGACGAUCCGUAGCUGGUCUGAGAGGAUGAUCAGCCACACUGGAACUGAGACACGGUCCAGACUCCUACGGGAGGCAGCAGUGGGGAAUAUUGGACAAUGGGCGCAAGCCUGAUCCAGCCAUACCGCGUGGGUGAAGAAGGCCUUCGGGUUGUAAAGCCCUUUUGUUGGGAAAGAAAAGCAGCAGGUUAAUACCCCGCUGUUCUGACGGUACCCAAAGAAUAAGCACCGGCUAACUUCGUG
rnacentral:rRNA from 1 species